AACGAACGCUGGCGGCAGGCCUAACACAUGCAAGUCGAACGGGAUCUUCGGAUCUAGUGGCGGACGGGUGAGUAACGCGUGGGAACGUGCCCUUUGCUUCGGAAUAGCCCCGGGAAACUGGGAGUAAUACCGGAUACGCCCUUUGGGGGAAAGUUUUAUGGCCAAAGGGUCGGCCCGCGUUGGAUUAGGUAGUUGGGGGGGUAAUGGCCUACCAAGCCGACGAACCAUAGCUGGUUUGAGAGGAUGAUCAGGCACACUGGGACUGAGACACGGCCCAGACUCCUACGGGAGGCAGCAGUGGGGAAUCUUAGACAAUGGGGGAAACCCUGAUCUAGCCAUGCCGCGUGAGCGAUGAAGGCCUUAGGGUUGUAAAGCUCUUUCAGUGGGGAAGAUAAUGACGGUACCCACAGAAGAAGCCCCGGCUAACUCCGUGCCAGCCGCCGCAGUAAAAC
rnacentral:rRNA from 1 species